rnacentral:rRNA from 1 species
AGCAGCCGCGGUAAUUCCAGCUCCAAUAGCGUAUAUUUAAGUUGUUGCAGUUAAAAAGCUCGUAGUUGAAUUUCGGGAUUGACACAUCGGUCGUGCCUUAAGGGGUAUGAACUGGUGUAGUCAAUUUCUCACCUUCUGGAGAACCGCGAUGUCCUUAAUUGGGUGCCGCGAGGAACCAGGACCUUUACUUUGAAAAAAUUAGAGUGUUUAAAGCAGGCAUUUUUGCUUGAAUACAUUAGCAUGGAAUAAUAAAAUAGGACGGCAUGAUUCUAUUUUGUUGGUUUCUAGGAUCACCGUAAUGAUUAAUAGGGAUAGUUGGGGGCAUUAGUAUUCAAUUGUCAGAGGUGAAAUUCUUGGAUUUAUUGAAGACUAACUACUGCGAAAGCAUUUGCCAAGGAUGUUUUCAUUAAUCAAGACGAAAGUUAGGGGAUCGAAGACGAUCAGAUACCGUCGUAGUCUUAACCAUAAACUAUGCCGACUAGGAUCAGACGAUGUUAAUUUUUUAAUGACUCGUUUGGCA